rnacentral:rRNA from 1 species
GACGUAGGGCGCGAGCGUUGUCCGGAUUUAUUGGGCGUAAAGAGCUCGUAGGCGGCUUGUCGCGUCGUCCGUGAAAACCUGCGGCUCAACUGCAGGCUGGCGGUCGAUACGGGCAGGCUGGAGUUCGGUAGGGGAGACUGGAAUUCCUGGUGUAGCGGUGAAAUGCGCAGAUAUCUGGAGGAACACCGGUGGCGAAGGCGGCAUCCUGGACCGACACUGACGCUGAGGAGCGAAAGCCAGGGGAGCAAACGGG